UAUGUAGGGUGCGAGCGUUGUCCGGAAUUAUUGGGCGUAGAGGGCUCGUAGGCGGUUUGUCGCGUCGGGAGUGAAAACCCAGGGCUUAACUCUGGGCUUGCUUUCGAUACGGGCAGACUAGAGGCAUGCAGGGGAGAACGGAAUUCCUGGUGUAGCGGUGAAAUGCGCAGAUAUCAGGAGGAACACCGGUGGCGAAGGCGGUUCUCUGGGCAUGUCCUGACGCUGAGGAGCGAAAGUGUGGGGAGCGAACAGG
rnacentral:rRNA from 1 species